rnacentral:rRNA from 1 species
GGGUUGUGAGGUUAAGCGACUAAGCGUACACGGUGGAUGCCCUGGCAGUCAGAGGCGAUGAAGGACGUGCUAAUCUGCGAUAAGCGUCGGUAAGGUGAUAUGAACCGUUAUAACCGGCGAUUUCCGAAUGGGGAAACCGAGCGUGAUAUCACACUAUCAUUAACUGAAUCCAUAGGUUAAUGAGGCGAACCGGGGGAACUGAAACAUCUA